rnacentral:lncRNA from 1 species
AGAAUAUGACUGAGUGUCUUGUGUGUGAAGAACUUUUUGGGAAGAGCUACACUUAAAGAUUAUUUCUGAACAAGGAUAAGCUGUCUGUUUGCUACAUCCUAGCCUCCAGUUUGUCCUUUAAAAGGCUGCCACUGCAUCGGUUAGAAGGAAAAGGCCACAACUUCACCACUCCAGCAGGUGCUCUAGGAAGAACUGUGCUAAUAUUAUCCUGUAAAACAGAUCUUGGCUAGUGGAUCAGUCCCACUUCCACGGAGAUACCCAGGCAGGCAAUGCCUUAGAUCUGG